rnacentral:lncRNA from 1 species
GCUGAAAUCUUCACAAUUUAUGGGGAUUUUGAUGCUGUUGGCUCUUGUUCAGGGUUUCUUUUCUUCUAUGUUUAUUUCAUAUUUUACAUGACUUUUUGCAUUUAUUUUUUUUCAUAUGAGCAGGCUCUCAUAAUGCAACACUUGAUUUUUUUUGCAAUGUACCCAAGUAAUUCUACACCAAAUGCUCCCCUCUGGAACAAAGGGAAAUAAAUGUUGUAUGUAUCACAUGAUGGGCAAACACUCUGCAGCAUGUCUGGGAACAUUCUCAUGCUAGGGACCAAGCCGGCUCUACAGAUACACUCAGUUGGCCAUAUACCAUAAUUGCAACACAUACAGAUGCAACAACAGUCGGACAGUGGGCUCGUGGAAUGAGUUGGGCUGCAUUUCUUUUGUGUUUUCUCAUUCCUAACCCGUCUCUGACCUGGAAUCUGGCAUUUCACCCACCAUUGUUACGUGUGGGUUCUUCUGGCUGAGGUCCCUGCAUGCCUGCUGGGUGUGCAGUGCAUGGCAGGGGAUGUGGCGAGGUUAAUCCCACCUGCAUCAUCAUGCAUCUAGCAGAACACUGUCUUAACAUAAAUAUCGUGGCUCCAGCAAUUUCCAACAGCGCUUGUUUCCACAGUGCAUGCUCUUGAAGCUAUUCACUGCCUUAAGGAGCUGCUGAGUGCUGGAUGGAGGAGAAAAUAUCACAUACACUUCUCUUGAGAUGUAGUCAAAUGCAGGAGGAACAUGAAAAGGUUUCUCUUGGGCAUCAAACAUUGUGCAGCAGUCAACAUUUGCAAGUACAAGGCCUGAGGUCCACAAAUAGGACAUUAAACUCUUCUUCUUUUUAAAAGUUAAUGACUUCUAAUUUCACUGAACUGUACAGACACUAAUUGAAAAACUCCCCACAUGGAUGAGAUUAGUUUGUCAACCAGGAACCUUCACUGCUGGCUGAGUGGAGGAUUUGCAUGGCUAGUUCUCAUUAGAGCUAACACAAAUCAUAUGGGACAAGAAUACUCUUCAGAAGAGCUGGGUUAAA